AUCCAGCUGACGAGUUCCAAAUGGGACGAAACAUGCGUCCUGGAU
rnacentral:hammerhead_ribozyme from 1 species